rnacentral:sRNA from 1 species
CAAAGUGCUGAGAUUACAGGGGUGAGCUACUGCGCCCCAAGAAAUGACUUCAAAAGGAAAAAUGUAAGCACCAACGUAAGCUGGUGUAAUGUAAUGUCAUUCCCACCAAUGUAAGUUGGCAGGAAUCCUUGCUCUGUAUAGAAGGGUCACAUUUUCUCAUCACUGCUUCCAAGUGUGACAGCAGUGGCCUCAUGGCCUUAUCUGGGGGAAAGCACUUCCUUCCAAGCACCAUGAAGGCCUCACGUGCUGAGACAAGAUGGAAGCUCCUAGUCUCCCCUGAGGACUGACACGUCCUGUGCUUCUCGGUCUCUCAGGACACGCGGGCGGCCAUGCGCCCCUUCGACCCCUCCACUCUGCUGCCCACCUGCUGGGAUUACUGGACCUACGCAGGCUCGCUCACCACCCCGCCGCUGACCGAGUCGGUCACCUGGAUCAUCCAGAAGGAGCCCGUUGAAGUGGCCCCAAGCCAGCUCUCUGCAUUUCGUACUCUCCUGUUUUCUGCACUUGGUGAAGAGGAGAAGAUGAUGGUGAACAACUAUCGCCCACUUCAACCCUUGAUGAACCGGAAGGUCUGGGCGUCCUUCCAGGCCACUAAUGAGGGCACAAGGUCCUAGAGACAUUAGGUCCACAUGAAUAGCAGAACUGACUUUGAAGGAAGGAAGCGUUGUUUCCCA